AGCGCCGGCGCGCGGAGAAGCGGAGGUAGGCUGUCGGCAGUCGGCUUGGCGCUGACUUGUAGGACCCCGGGACCGGGCGCCUGGGCCAACUUGGGACCGCUGGGAGUGCAGAGGGGCCCCAGCGCCCGAGCCUUCCGGGAAUGGACGUGCGCGCCCUUGGGGCCGGCGCAUCAUCCACCGCCCACUAGCGUUGGCCCGCCCUGGGGAGAGGAGAAAAUGCCAGAGGCCGACACUUGACUGAUGGCGCUGCGGACCUCGCUGGUCUUGGGGACAAGGCGGCAGAUUUCCUUUAGAAAAACUUCCCUCUCGCGUCUCCCUGGCCCCGCGGCGACCGAAGAGUUGGGGUUCGGCUUUCUUCUCCUGGGAUUUAAGUGUUAUUUGAAACAGCUCCCUGCGCGGCCCUUUUCUCCUAAACUUUGACAGAAACUUCCCUUUGUCCCUACCAAUCCUCAGUGAGUUCUUUACAGGGGUCCGAGACAGGUUGUAGAUAUGAUGCGGCUUAUCGGCUUUACCCCGAUCCUAGCGGAGUUAGGACUUGCUGAUGUAAUUGGCCAGCACCUGCCUAACAAUGAAGGUUUAGUUAUGCUACAAGUAAUGCACCUCUAAAAAAACGUAAAACAGGCUUUACGUUUUACCUGCUAUCUCCACAGGUUUACUAGCUGCUUAAUACAAUAUGCUUGUAUAUCAAGGUGAGCAAAUUUCAGCAAAUGUCAUUGUAAAUAGUCCCAACUUAAAUGGAAUUGAACUCUGGAACUCAAUGUGCAUAGAAGUCCCUGAGACUGACGCCAUUCUAGAUCUACCACUAGAUGGUUUGCGAUGUACGGAAUUAAAGGCAGUCACUUCUACCUGAAUUGUGAUGAAAGUAGUUUACCUGAACAUGCUGGGAAAGUGUGCUACCCUGUUUUGUAUUAGAAACCAGUUUCCAAGUAAAUUGAAAAGCAAAUUUUCAGACUUGACAUUAAAAACACCUCCAUGUCAUUCUUACAAGAGGUACAAAAGCAUUUUAGAAAACUAAAGCCAGGAGUUUCUUCCCUUUUACCAGAAUCUUUUCCCUCCAUUUAACAAUAGUACUGUUGUGCUAAAUGAAAUUUACUUAAUGUAUUACUCUUACAGUCUCAAAACAAUAAGGGCAUUGCAAACCUUGUAUUAUCUCUAUCGUGUCAAGGAAACAAAACGGUUCAUUUAAGCAGUCAUGCAAAAAAUUCAAGAAAAACUGAUUUUGCUCAAUUCAACUAAUUGAAGCAAAGUAGUUUUUCUUGUUGUUUUAAUCUGCAUUUUGUACAUCAUUUCCACAUUGCUGGACCAGCAAAAUUCUGACCUCUGCAAUACAAUAAAAUGUGUUACUGGUAUUGACAGAUGAAGCCACAAAUAGAAAAUGAGCAUGGAAAUCCUACCUGGACUGAGGUAUCAAAGGAUACCAAGAGAUACUAGAGACAACAAGGAACCUGGAAAAAGAUAGUGUUCCAACCUGUAAAUAAGAAAACAGAGAAGGAGGUUCAUUAAUAUUUAAGAUACCAGCUAGUAAAUUAAAACAGCAAUGUAGUUGUCUGGCUUGAGUAUUCAGUUUUAUUUACUACAUCUUUUUAUCUUUUCUAGAAGCAAGGCAUUAAGUGUUGACACUUGAGUAUUGAACCAAUCUGUGAUAUGACAUGAAUAUGCCUUUAACUUUCAGAAGUUUGUCUACAGACUUACAAGGAAACCAAAAGUAGUCGCUCUUCCAAUGGCUUCCUAAUUUUCUCAGCCUGAGUCUUUUCUGCAACCUAAAAAUCCUAUGCUAGCUGGCCUCCCAAGUCCUACCUCACCUCCACCCCUCUGACCUCAUUUCUGCUAAGCACUUUGUUCCAGUUACACAGACCUGCUCCCUGCUUCUGUAACACCAAGGCAUCUUCUUGCCCUGAGGCCCUUACACUGUGUAUAGUUUCUAUCUGCAAAGAUCUUUCCACCAAAUACCUGCAUGGCUAGAUCUUCCACUUCUGUCCAAUCUUUGCUUAAAAGUCAUCUUUUUUCAAAGAAGCCUACCCUAAUCAUCUCAUUUAAAAUAUUGCCCCUUCCCCAGAAUCCUCCCUUCCUUGCUUCUGUUUUUUUCAUAGUACUUACCUUCUAACCUUCUAACAUCGUCAUUUUCUAUUUUUAUUUUCUAUUGCCUUCCCUCCGCUAGAAUGUAAGCUCCACAAGAUCGGGGAUUUUUUUUUUUUCAUUUUGUUCAAUGUUUCCUUAGUACCUAAAAUACUAGAAUAGUAGAUGGCACAGAGUAGAUGCUCAAUAAAUAUUUCUUAAGUGAAUAAAUGAAUGGGUGAAUCAUUGCCUAAAAGACACUAAAAGGAAAAGACCUAAUUAAAACUAUUUAAAAAC
rnacentral:lncRNA from 1 species